rnacentral:rRNA from 1 species
UGGGGAAUAUUGCACAAUGGGCGCAAGCCUGAUGCAGCCAUGCCGCGUGUAUGAAGAAGGCCUUCGGGUUGUAAAGUACUUUCAGCGGGGAGGAAGGUGUUGAGGCUAAUAACCUCAGCAAUUGACGUUACCCGCAGAAGAAGCACCGGCUAACUCCGUGCCAGCAGCCGCGGUAAUACGGAGGGUGCAAGCGUUAAUCGGAAUUACUGGGCGUAAAGCGCACGCAGGCGGUCUGUCAAGUCGGAUGUGAAAUCCCCGGGCUCAACCUGGGAACUGCAUUCGAAACUGGCAGGCUAGAGUCUUGUAGAGGGGGGUAGAAUUCCAGGUGUAGCGGUGAAAUGCGUAGAGAUCUGGAGGAAUACCGGUGGCGAAGGUGGCCCCCUGGACAAAGACUGACGCUCAGGUGCGAAAGCGUGGGGAGCAAACA